AUGCAGGAGUCCAAAGUUGAAAGGCAAGAACUUGCCAAAAAUAGGGCUGUUAUUCUGAAGAUCAUUCAGUUAAAGCAGCCAAUGUCUGAGAGAGUGCUCAGUGACAAAGAUUUGGGAGUCCAGUCUCCUCUGGUGUGUGAAGCUUCUCUGAAAACUCCUCCUCUGACCAAGUAUGGAGAAGAAAAGGAGGCAAUGGGUAGCCCAGUCACACUGUGGACUCAGGGGACAGAGAGCACCAUGGCCACAGCUCUUCUCUUUCUUUUCUUCUUCUCUCAUUUUACAGGUUCCCUCUCCCAGUCUAUGGUGACUCAGCCUCCCACCCUCUCUGCAUCUCUUGGAUCAACAGCCAGACUCACAUGCACCCUGAGCAGUGAUAUCAGUGUAGGCAGCAAGCACAUCUACUGGUAUCAGCAGAAGGAUGGGAAUCCUCCCAGGUAUCUCCUGAGGUACUAUUCUGACUCAGAUAAGCACCAAGGCUCCGGGGUAUCUAGCCGCUUCUCUGGAUCCAAAGACACCUCAAAAAAUGCAGGACUUCUGCUUAUCUCUGGGCUCCAGGCUGAGGAUGAGGCUGACUAUUACUGUAGUAUCUGGCACAGUGACAAUACUGGUUACACAGUACUCCAGACCUAUGAGGAACUGAGACCAAAACCUCUCCUGUGUCUCUCUGCAUCCAAAAAUCACCUUUGA